rnacentral:rRNA from 1 species
AUUGAACGCUGGCGGCAGGCCUAACACAUGCAAGUCGAACGAGUGGCGGACGGGUGAGUAAUGUCUGGGAAACUGCCCGAUGGAGGGGGAUAACUACUGGAAACGGUAGCUAAUACCGCAUACCAUCGGAUGUGCCCAGAUGGGAGUAGCUAGUAGGUGGGGUAACGGCUCACCUAGGCGACGAUGUCUAGCUGGUCUGAGAGGAUGACGAGCAACAGUGGGACGGAGACACGGUCAAGAAUCCUACGGGAGGCAGCAGUGGGGAACAUUGGGGAGUGGGCGCAAGCCUGAAGCAGCCAAGCCGGGUGUAUGAAGAAGACCAUCGGGUUGUAAAGUACUUUAAUUGAGGAGGCGUUACUUGAAGAAGAAGCACCGGCUAACUCCGUGCCAGCAGCCGCGGUAAUAC